ACGCUCAGAUUGAACGCUGGCGGCAGGCUUAACACAUGCAAGUCGAGCGGAUGAAGGUAGCUUGCUACCGGAUUCAGCGGCGGACGGGUGAGUAAUGCUUAGGAAUCUGCCUAUUAGUGGGGGACAACGUUCCGAAAGGGGCGCUAAUACCGCAUACGUCCUACGGGAGAAAGCAGGGGACCUUCGGGCCUUGCGCUAAUAGAUGAGCCUAAGUCGGAUUAGCUAGUUGGUAGGGUAAAGGCCUACCAAGGCGACGAUCUGUAGCGGGUCUGAGAGGAUGAUCCGCCACACUGGGACUGAGACACGGCCCAGACUCCUACGGGAGGCAGCAGUGGGGAAUAUUGGACAAUGGGGGGAACCCUGAUCCAGCCAUGCCGCGUGUGUGAAGAAGGCCUUUUGGUUGUAAAGCACUUUAAGCGAGGAGGAGGCUACCUAGAUUAAUACUUUAGGAUAGUGGACGUUACUCGCAGAAUAAGCACCGGCUAACUCUGUGCCAGCAGCCGCGGUAAUACAGAGGGUGCGAGCGUUAAUCGGAUUUACUGGGCGUAAAGCGUGCGUAGGCGGCCAAUUAAGUCAAAUGUGAAAUCCCCGAGCUUAACUUGGGAAUUGCAUUCGAUACUGGUUGGCUAGAGUAUGGGAGAGGAUGGUAGAAUUCCAGGUGUAGCGGUGAAAUGCGUAGAGAUCUGGAGGAAUACCGAUGGCGAAGGCAGCCAUCUGGCCUAAUACUGACGCUGAGGUAGAAAAGCACGG
rnacentral:rRNA from 1 species